rnacentral:rRNA from 1 species
AACGAACGCUGGCGGCAGGCCUAACACAUGCAAGUCGAACGCUCCAGCAAUGGAGAGUGGCAGACGGGUGAGUAACGCGUGGGAACCUUCCCUAUGGUUCGGAAUAGCCCAGGGAAACUUGGGUAAUACCGGAUAAGCCCUUCGGGGGAAAGAUUUAUCGCCAUUGGAUGGGCCCGCGUCGGAUUAGCUAGUUGGUGGGGUAACGGCUCACCAAGGCGACGAUCCGUAGCUGGUCUGAGAGGACGAUCAGCCACACUGGGACUGAGACACGGCCCAGACUCCUACGGGAGGCAGCAGUGGGGAAUAUUGGACAAUGGGCGCAAGCCUGAUCCAGCCAUGCCGCGUGAGUGACGAAGGCCUUAGGGUUGUAAAGCUCUUUUGGCGGGGAAGAUAAUGACGGUACCCGCAGAAUAAGCUCCGGCUAACUUCGUGCCAGCAGCCGCCGUAACAC